rnacentral:sRNA from 1 species
GCAGGGCAUGGUGGCUCACGCCUGUAAUCCCAGAAGCUUGGGAGGCUGAGGCAGGAGGAUCGCAAGUUGAAAGCCUGCCUCAGCAAAAGUGAGGCACUAAGUAACUCAGUGAGACCCUGUCUCUA